GUGAACGCUGGCGGUAGGCCUAACACAUGCCAGUCGCACGGCAGCACAGUAAGAGCUUGCUCUUACGGGUGGCGAGUGGCGGACGGGUGAGGAAUACAUCGGAAUCUACAUUUUCGUGGGGGAUAACGUAGGGAAACUUACGCUAAUACCGCAUACGACCUACGGGUGAAAGCAGGGGAUCUUCGGACCUUGCGCGAUUGAAUGAGCCGAUGUCGGAUUAGCUAGUUGGCGGGGUAAAGGCCCACCAAGGCGACGAUCCGUAGCUGGUCUGAGAGGAUGAUCAGCCACACUGGAACUGAGACACGGUCCAGACUCCUACGGGAGGCAGCAGUGGGGAAUAUUGGACAAUGGGCGCAAGCCUGAUCCAGCCAUACCGCGUGGGUGAAGAAGGCCUUCGGGUUGUAAAGCCCUUUUGUUGGGAAAGAAAAGCAGCAGGUUAAUACCCCGCUGUUCUGACGGUACCCAAAGAAUAAGCACCGGCUAACUUCGUG
rnacentral:rRNA from 1 species